rnacentral:tRNA from 1 species
UCCCUUGUGGCUCAGUGGGUAAAGAGUCUGCCUGCAGUGCAGGAGAGCCAUGUUCAACCCCUGGCUUGGGAA